AGCCACAAUCUUUCCUUUUCCUUUGCUUACUAUGAACCGAGAGAGAAACACAAAAAGCCGCUACCAUUUCUCUUCCUACUCACCAAAAGCUGAGAUCCAUUCUUUCCCUGCAAUUUCUAAGCUUUAAUUAGGCAGCAAGGAAACACCGACUCAGUAGUUAGAACAUCGGGUAGGAGCAGAAAAUUGUUUCAGCCAAGAAACUGUGAGAAACUAGUACGUGUCAGUAGCCUUCCAUUUGACCGAGAGGAAGAGUAAAAGAAACAUAAUCUUUCUUUCUUCCUUAACCUAUUAAAACAGAAAAGAAACAACAAGAGAAUUAGGCACUUCCUUCGUCCCUUCAACCGUAAACGUCAACCAAGAAAACAAGGAAACUCUAGCUCAGUUAGCCACGGAUUCGAGAGGGAGAGAGAGCUGAACUUUCCAGUCCACAAACGUGAAGAAACCAGAGGUAGUUAACUACUUUUCUUCUUCAAUUUCCUGCUACUUCUAGUUAGUAAUGUUUUAGGUUGAGUUAUAACCAAGAAAAGAAUCAUCAAAGUCGGAAGUUUGUUUAAAGUUUCUGCAUGUUGUCCAAUAGAAAAGCUGCAAUUUUGGUUCUUUUUAAAAAAAAAAAAAGAAUUUGCUAGAUUAUCAGUAGAAUCCACGCUUUAUGCUCUGUAUAUUCUUAUUUGGUUACGCAUAUAAGUUCUGCGGUGAAAAACUUAACUCUUGUGGCUGGAAUUCUUGUUUGGAGGACUGCAUGGCUGCUGGAAAAUUUCCAACUUGCCCAUGAUGAAUUUUCUGGUUUAAAACUGGAAUUUGAUGAGAAGUUUUUGCUUGAUUUCAAACUUACAUAAUCUUAUUGCAAUGUUUAUGUGAAUGCAUGUCGAAUUUGGUUGAUAUUUGAUGCAUUAAAUGAAAUGUUAGUGAAGAUUUAUGGCCGAAAACUUCAACAUUGAACCUGAGAAUGCUGUUACGUUUUCUUAGACUUCGAUUUCAUCUUAUAACCUGAAAUUUAUGCAUAUAUUGAUCAAAUAACAUCCCUACUCCUCUGUUUUACUCUGUAUAUUGCGAUUGUCCUGAUUUGGGAGGAAAUAACUAAAUCUUAGGAAAGAAAUGAGAGCUGGUCAAGCAUGCGAAGCUGUUGGCAGAUUUGGGUUGAUUGGAUGAAUUCGAUUGUAAUACUGAGUUUUUCUGAAUUUUUUAGCUAAAUAUUAAUAAAAAAAAAACUAUCCAUAACUGAAUGAUAGUAAAAUGUACCUUGAAUUUGAGGAAGUUUAAAGAGGAAAAUAGCAAACAAAAGGAAAAAACUUGACUACCCAUUGCUGGAAAACUGUUUUGAACCAUUCUAAAAUAAGUGCUAAAAUUUUGAGUUUAACUUUGAAUUCUACAAUGGAACUUGAACCAAAACUAACCAAAACCUCCUCAAACUAUUUUAUAACAGUUUUACUUGUGAAAAUUCAUCCAAAAUAUAGGAUAAAAUCAAAGAAGUUCAUAGUAAUACUAAGUUGCCAAUCUCUAGAAAAUUUAUUAAUUUUGAAUUUUGAUUUCUAAAAUGACCUUUAGGACCUAGAUUCCAACUUUUAUAAGAAAAGAUAAGUACUAAGAUUACCUCAAAACAAAAGAAAUAAAAUCUUGGAUCAUACAUAUAGAUAUAUAUAUAUAUAUACACACACACUUUUAGCCAAUUGUGUCAUAUUAAGUUGAAUUUAGUUAAAAGAAUCAAGUAAGUCUAAACAGCUAGAAUAAUCACUUAAACCAUUAAUUUCACCAAGUAUUACAAUUCAACAUCACUUUAAGAAAAUUUUAACAAAUAAUCUAAUAAAUUUACAAAUAUCUCAGGAGUCGAGGGUGAAUCGGAUGAGAGACCGAGCACCGAGAAGUGAAUUUCAACUACUUUGGGUGAGUGUUUCCGAUUUUAUGUGUUCAACUGCUUAUGUGUACUUAAGUGAAAUUGUGUGACAAAUGUACUUAUUAUGAAAUAUUGUUAUGUGAUUCAUUGUAAAAUAUAUCUCAAUUGUCCCUCGCCUUCUAAGUCGAGGGUGUACUUUAUCGCACUCAACUUAGUUAAGCUUGAAGGUUGAUAAUUAAUCAAGUGAUAUUGUAAGUGUGCAUGACUGUAAGCCGUGUAUGUACUUUAUCACACUGGCCAAACUAGGCCCAGAACCCUCUGUUCAACGAACUAUUCGAGCCAGCAAAGGGCUUGGUCGAGUAGGAUGGUAACUUUGGGUAAGUGUUUCGAUAUGCUCGAGUAUUACCACGGAGUAGCAGAUUACUGAUAUUGAUAUGGCCAUCUAAAUGAGGGAAGUGUUUAUUGUUUUGAAGGGUAUAAUGAGGAGUUGAGUGGAGUGUGUAACAUCCUGAAUAUUAGGAGGUUGUUUGUGAAGAAAAUAUUAAAGUGUAUUUCUUUGGGUUUGAUUUAAAACCUAAUUUUGUUUUAAAAGAUUAGAAACCCUAAAAUUGUAGCCAAAAAACCCUAGUUUACUUUUGACUAACCGGUUUUCCUAAAUCUCUCCUAUUUUAAUUGAAACCCUAAUUUUAAUUACUGGAGUUGGAAAAUUCCUCACAUUUUCUUAAAAAUUUCCUUUUAGUUGAAAAUUUUCAUCUAUUAAAGCCCUACUAUCCAAUUAUUCCAUAAUAAGUGCAAAUGAAUCUAGAAAGUAGGGUUUUAUUCCUCGGUUUCAAGUUUGGAGCAAAAUUAGGGUUUUCGCGAUUUUCCGCCGGAUGAAUUUUCGAUACGGAGCAAGGACCAAAUUGGGUGAUUAAAAGUGACUUUUAAGUGAGAAAUAAUAUGUGAGUAGUAGCAAUGAUAUAAGGUUAGUGAAUGGGAAGUAAAAACACUAGUACGUGAGUUUUUAAGAAAAACGGCGCGAACCGGCGGGUCCCGCGCGCUACCGAUUGAACGCACCACUUGACCACCACUUUCUUACCCUACAAGCUCAUUGAUAAUUGAGCAAAAUAUCCUCUCACUACCAGAUAAGUCUGACCGAAAAUUGUGGCUCAAAGGCAAGGAAAGAAAGAGAAAAUUUUGUGGCCAAGAUUAGUCCAAGUGUUGGCAAAAAUUGUGGUCACAAUUAGCCCUAAUCUUCUUACUUCCUUAUAAGACAAACCAAGCUCCAUCUUCCUUCAUUUUUCUGCUAAGGAGCCGAGAGAGAGAGAGAGUAAGAACAAGAGAAAAUUUCUUCAUUUCACCUUCAAAUCCAACAACUUAGUGAGAAAAUAAACAAAGUAAACCGAUUAAACUUGUUCUUGAGUGACUAGGUGGUGAUUUGUGGUAAGUUUUUGGAAGGAGGAAGCUUGGGCUACUCUUUGUGUCCUCUAUUCAAGGUAAGAGAGCUUAUCUUUCUAAGUUUUGCUUUCAAUUUUGUUAAAUUAAGUUUAGUAGUUGAUUAUAGUGGUGGAAUCAUGGAUGAUUAGCAUGUUUUAGAAGUUUUUCCCCAAUUUAUUUGAUGAACUAGGGCUUGUGGAAAUUCUGCCCAAAUUUAUUGUAUGAUGCUUAUAUGUUGAAUUAAGAUUAUAAGAGAGGUUUUGGUAGUGUUUGAAGUGGGAAAUUAAGGAAAGUUCCACUAGAAACAAAAAAUUCCAGAUUUCUGGAAAUUCUUGCUUCCUUUCUGUCCGAAUUUGUAUCUGUGUGUUAGAGGCCGAAUUUGCCUUAGGUCAAAGAAGAAAAGUUGUAUAGAAUGACAUUUUAUAGGUGCCUACAAAAUUUCAGCUCAAUCGGAGCAACGUAGGAUGUGAAAAGUCCAAAAUACCCUUACUGUUUUAAAUAUUUCCCAGCAGUCCGUUUCAUCAGUUAAGUCCAGUUUAUCACGUUUUUUGACUAGGAUCCGUACUGAUUUAGCUCUGGGCCAAAACAUGAAAGUUGUAUUAUUCUUAAUUGGCUUUAAAAUGCAUCUAAAAACACCUAAUUCGGACUUGUGUACACUGAGUUAUGUUCAUUACAGUGUUCUGCGUUUAAACAGCCGACGAAUUGGUUUCUGGUUUAGUAAUUCGAGAAUUUGACUAAGUUACAUUAGGAACUGGACUAAGUGACCUUCAUGAAUAUUGUAGCUCUGUGUCUUAGCUUCGAAACGGCGUAGGUUUCGUUUUAAUCCGAUAAGCGUAGCCUCGGAUAUGUUAUUUCUGCUUUUGUACGUCAAAUCUGUUUUGAACUAAAUUGAAUUUCUGCACUUGUACUUAAUACGAUUCUUGUUAUUAUGAUAUUGUGAGCCUAUGGAACGGCUCUUGACAUGAAUUGCUGAUAUGUAUAAUGUUGGGUUGUGUUUGAGAAAAACAAUGAAGCCUAAAAGGCUGGAAAAUUAGGUAAACACAAAGGGCAUGCUGCCCGAAUUUUUACUCGAGGACUAGAAAACUAUAUUAGCGACUUGAGUGAAGGUUAAGUACUUAUUACUUGAACUAGCGAGAACCUUGGCCACUAUGUUUCUUGAGUGUUAUACGUUAGGACUUGGACGAACUUGUACCCUUGAGAAAUGAAAUAAUGAUUGCUCGAAGUAUGUUUUCCUUGUACUUUCAACUCGCAAGACAAUUUCAAGUAUAAAUAUUACAAAGUUUUACUGUUUAAAAAGGCGAGCAAGUGUUUCACGACUACUGUCCGAGUGAAUUUCAAUUUCUUGAUUCUUAUUGAACGAAACGUCUAAGUUUCGAACUCUAGUCAUGUUUCAAAGUUCUCAAAUUGAGUUUUAUCGCAGAUUUGGACUCCGAACUCGGAGUAUAACCUGAGAGUGACCAGUAAAAGCACUAUAUCUUUUGGUGAGUGCUUUCAAAUACUGAAUUGAACUUGAUACUUGUACUUGAUACGUGCCAAUAUGAUUACAUGCCAUAUGCGUGAAUUGUUAGGGCAAGAGUGUACUUUAUCGCACUUGCCCUUACAUGAUAUAUACUUGUUUAUUGUUGCAAUUGACUUGACAUACUUGUUAUGAUGCGCGCACUUCCUGGAAUUCCAGAAACCCUGUGGCAAGUUACUCUAGUCGAGCCGGCAGGGGCUUGGUCGGUUGGGUAACGAGCCCUGGGUCUCUUGCUUUGUCGAGUGGAGUGAUAUCUCCUCGACUAAUUGGUAUACUCGAGUAUUACCACCCGUGUUUAUUGAGGAUUUUGGGCCCAGUAGGGGGUGUGAAUGGUGGACGGAGAGUAGUGUAAGUGGUGUUCUACUGGAUUGGUUCCUUUACUUGAAAGUUGACGGAGUGUCAACUACUAUGUGAUCAAGCCCUGAUGAUGAAUGGAAGUUGGCUCCUGAGAGCCAUCCGUAUCCUUAUGCUUUGGAAUGAUUAUUGUUUAUUGGAUUAUUGUUUCUUCUGAAAACUUUUACACUCGCUCAUUUUGAGAUUGCUACUUGAAGUGUUAUUGCUCACUUUAUGAACUUUCAUGCUCGUUACUUUGCUAUAUCGAAAACUAGUACUUAUAAAUAAUGGUCAAUUUGCUAUUUGGAACCUCACUGGGCUUUUAGCUCACACCACGCUAUUUGUUUUCCUUACAGGGGUACGAGUGAGCGUGAGA
rnacentral:lncRNA from 1 species